AGAGUUUGAUCCUGGCUCAGGAUGAACGCUGGCGGCGUGCCUAACACAUGCAAGUCGAACGGACUCCUCUGAAUGAUGCUUCGGUUGAUUUUAGAGAUAGUUAGUGGCUAACGGGUGAGUAAUGUAUAAGUAACUUACCCUUAAGUCUGGGAUAACCUCCUGAAAAGGAAGCUAAUACCGGAUAUGCUUUUUUGCUCAUAAGGGUAGAAAAGGAAAGGGAUUUACCGCUUAAGGAGAGGCUUAUAUCUGAUUAGUUUGUUGGUGGGGUAGAAGCCUACCAAGGCGAUGAUCAGUAGCUGGUCUGAGAGGAUGGUCAGCCACACUGGGACUGAGACACGGCCCAGACUCCUACGGGAGGCAGCAGUGGGGAAUUUUGCGCAAUGGGGGCAACCCUGACGCAGCGACGCCGCGUGAGUGACGACGUCUUUCGGGAUGUAAAGCUCUGUCAAGAGGGAAGAUAGUGACGGUACCUCUAGAGGAAGCCCCGGCUAACUACGUGCCAGCAGCCGCGGUAAUACGUAGGGGGCGAGCGUUAUCCGGAUUUAUUGGGCAUAAAGGGCGUGUAGGUGGUGUUUUAAGUCGGAUGUUAAAGUCUCCAGCUCAACUGGAGUUCGCAUUCGAUACUGAAAUGCUAGAGAUCAGGAGAGGGAAGCGGAACUCAUGGUGUAGCGGUGAAAUGCGUAGAUAUCAUGAGGAACACCAGUUGCGAAGGCGGCUUCCUGGCCUGGUUCUGACACUGAGGCGCGAAAGCGUGGGGAGCAAACGGGAUUAGAUACCCCGGUAGUCCACGCCGUAAACAUUGUUCACUAGGUGUAGGAGGUAUCGACCCCUUCUGUGCCGAAGAUAAUUCGUUAAGUGAACCGCCUGGGGAGUACGACCGCAAGGUUAAAACUCAAAGGAAUUGACGGGGGCCCGCACAAGCAGUGGAGCAUGUGGUUUAAUUCGACGAUACGCGAAAAACCUUACCAGGACUUGACAUCUGUAGAAUUUUUUUAGAAAUAAGAAAGUGCCCGCAAGGGAACUACAAGACAGGUGGUGCAUGGCUGUCGUCAGCUCGUGUCGUGAGAUGUUGGGUUAAGUCCCGCAACGAGCGCAACCCCCAUUUAGUGUUGCCAGCAAUUCGGUUGGGAACUCACUAGAGACUGCCCGUGGAAAGCGGGAGGAAGGUGGGGAUGACGUCAAGUCAUCAUGCCCCUUACGUCCUGGGCUACACACAUGCUACAAUGGCUGAUACAGAGGGUUGCGAAGCCGCGAGGUGGAGCUAAUCUCACAAAGUCAGUCUUAGUACGGAUUGCAGUCUGCAACUCGACUGCAUGAAGCCGGAAUUGCUAGUAAACGCAGAUCAGAACGCUGCGUUGAAUACGUUCCCGGGCCUUGUACACACCGCCCGUCACACCAUGAGAGUCGGAAACACCCGAAACCAAUGUGCCAACCUUCGGGAGGCAGUUGUCUAAGGUGGAGUCGGCGAUUGGGGUGAAGUCGUAACAAGGUA
rnacentral:rRNA from 1 species